rnacentral:tRNA from 1 species
AAAUAAGAAGCAAUUUUUGCGAUUAGUUUCGACCUAAUAAAAUGGUAUUAAGUUACCCUUAUUUU